UAAAAAAAAAUGAGAAAAAAAGAUAAAUGAAGGAAAAGAAAGAGAAGGCAAGAAAGAGCAGGUAUUUCCCUUGACCUUAAUGAUCCUGGUUGCUAACUGCAGUGGAAUUCUGACCCCUCACCGUUGACUCUCACUGUUAUGUAAGCACGGGCUUUGAAACGUCUCUCUGGCUUUUGUAUGCUGAUAGGAGAAUCACAGCACAGAACAGAUGUAGUCAGGAGGUGAACAUGCAAUCAAAGAGCCGCCGUUGGCAGAAGCUUGACAGGCUAGACUGACAUAAGGGGAGACUGGAAGCCCAAAGAAAAACCCACCGGACGACAUUCUACAGAACCCACCCUCUUCCUCUGAGAGGGCCCUGUCCAAGUGAAGGUGGAGGACAUGAUGGACUUGGAGAUACAGAACCACUGAAACAAGGAGGAGGCUACAUACAACAUUCAAGACGGUAAACAAGUGUGAGAUACCCAGGUGGAAAUAGAGAAGUGGGGAGGGGGAACAACACAUCCGUCGCUCUCACGGAUCCUUCUCGCCCAGUUCUCUUAAAUUUCUGCACUCUUGAGGUAGUCUAGAUCCACUCCAUUUUUGUGCUGUCUACAUUCCUUUCCACUCUAGGUCUGAAAAAUACCUUCCGUCAGACCCGGAGUCUUCCUGGAUGCCAAGAGAAAUGGGAUGAAGUUUGGGAAGAAAGGGGGUGGGAACUUAAGCCGAUUCGAUCCAUACUGGAUCCACUAACGUUUCUGACUCUGUACUACGCUUCCGGGAAGGUACAGAAGACACAAAUUGUAGGGCAAGUGAGCCUUACAGACAGGCAUAAGAACUGGAGAGGUGAGGCUCAAAUCCUGGGAAUCUCAGAGAUCUGAGAUGGUGGGGUGGAACUGCUCCUUCACAGCCUCAAGGCCUGCUCUGGAACACAUAACAAAGACCACCAACUGAGAAGACCCAGGGUAGUCUCUGAAUGCAGUACCUGAAGUCCUUCCCCAGCAAAUCCCAAACUCAGCCAAAAGAAAACAUUUACCACCAAAUCCCACCCACUCCCCCAAGUUUUAUAUAGUCAGUCCUAUCCCCAUGGGAUAAAGCACACAGGGUUUUCUGACAGUGGCUGUCUUCACUGUAACAUUUGGGGAAGAGCUCCCUCUCCGAAAGCACUCGUGGUUGGAUCUUGGAUCCCUGUGGCUAGCCAGGCUCUCACUGCCUGCAGAGACUCACGUCAGAGCAGCAGCAGCUGAUGCAGCCACAGCUGCCACCACUGUCACUGCAGCUGUUGUGGGACCUGGGACCCAGGCUACCUGAGGAACCUGUCUGUCCCAGGCUGCUCUUCACCCUCCUUGACCUGGCAAACAGAGACACCGGACACAACAGAGGGAAGUGGGCAUCCAGACACCCCUGGCAGAGAGGCAGAAUUCAAUACCACAGCAAAUGAGAGCCUUGAUUCAUUCUCAGAAGAAAAGUAGUUGAAAGAAAGGGUAUGGAAUUUAGAAUCGUAGGACUGGGUUUAAAUUCCUGCACAUGCUACGAACAGCACGUUAAUCUUAGCAUAGUUACUGAACACCCUUUGUUUCAUUAUCUGUGAAGCGGAACUGAUAAGACAACCAUCUCCUGGUGGUAAGAGCAGCAGCAACUUACUAGCAUCUGGGGAUUUUUGUUUCUUUGUUUAUUUUUGGUUUUCCAAGACGGGAUUUCACUGUGUAGCCCUGGCUGUCCUGGAACUCACUCUGUGGACCAGGCUGGCCUUGAACUCACAGAGAUCCGGCUGCUUCUGCAUUCCCAAACACCGGGAUUAAAGGCAUGCACCAUCACCAGUCAGCUACCAUUCCAGUAACCCAGGAAUCGAUCAGAAGCCAAGGCCAGAGUGCUGCUGUUGCAACGGCAACGAGUGAGCUAUUAAGAAAGCCUGCAACAAAUCUCCAGCCUCCGGUGUCUUUCAGAAGCCAGAACUAUAGACCUGUGGCUUACUGGACAGUCACGGGCAAGGUGAACUACACAUCACUAAGUCUAUUCUGGUUUAACCCACGGAUAUGGAUGACGAAAGGAGAAAUUCAGAGAGACACAACAGCGUGCAUUUUCAAUCUCCCACUUCAAGCCAAAAGCCACUCGGAUCGUUUGAGCUGUGUGCUGGAGAAAACUGGUUUGGAGAAACCUGCCUCUCGAGGGCUAACUUCAGGUAAACCAUGCUUCUGGGCUGCAGGAUGCCUCCUGAGAGGGUGGACUACUCUGCUGGAUGGCUUUCCUUUGCCAACCCACUCCUUCCCAGUUGUGCCUCUGUGGACACCGACUUCUGUAGCCCUGUGAUGAACAACUCCAGCAGCCAGGCUCGAUCUGUUUUUACCUCUGUGUGAGAUCUCCCUGCUUUCCUCCAGCUAUCAGGUUCACGAAGAGGCUCCUCCCCUCGCACAUCUUCCUCGGGUCCGUUCUGUUUCCAUGGGAUUUGGGCUGGAUUCAGGAUGAGCACGGAUGAGGAGGAAAAGCCACAGGAAGAGUAAAAAUACCUGGCACUUGACUUCUUCAGACACAGUCUGGAAGAUGUUGUCUUUUCCAUCAACACCCAUGAUCUUAGAAAUAAUGGUUCCUAGUUUACUGAUUUUUCUAAAGUCACUCAGAAUUGGGAGGAGAAAUCAAAAUUUUCUCAUCUCUAAGCAGCUUGACUCAUCAUAACUCCAACCCCUAAAAGGAGUUUGUUCUUGAUGUUGGAAACCAUCUGCAGCUCUGGACCCAGUCUUCCUCAUUCAGUAAUACCAAGUAGAAGUGUGUCCACUGGUCUUAAACCUCUGUCUUCCGUGACCAUUAAACUAUAAACCACAAAAGGAUUCACAGACUUCUCUUCAUUCCCAGAAUUAAGAAAUCCCACUGAGAUCUGGGAUUCAAGGGCACCUCUUGAUUAAAUUUGUCAUUCAAUUGGCUUCCUAUGAAGCUCAAGACUGAAGAAGUUUUUUUCUAUUUGCAAGUAAAGAAAUCAAUAUUUUCAUAA
rnacentral:sRNA from 1 species